GCAAGAAGAUAGCUACUUCUACAGUAUAAUAUAAAUUUGUAAAUCAUAUUAGGUGCUACAAUAAAAUCCAAAAAUCUUGUAAUUCCUAUAAAGAAAAGAGAAAUAACUAAAACAUUACAUUACUUAGUAAUGAUGAAUAUCAAUCUAACUUUUCUGAGACUUCUACAUCUUAGUAAUUACAAAAUGAAUGAUACUUAUCUUUUUCAAAGAGAAAUAAGACUGAUACCUCAUUUAAACUAUUAGCAUUGCUGAUUUCCAUGUAACUUCAUAAUCUUGAAAAUACUGUCACAUGUGAUGCCAUAUUCGCUGUAUAUCACAAGUCUGUGAGUUUGACAAGAUUUGAUUUUUAACCUCCCAACAUGGUAAAGGCGCUGGCAUGGGCCUGGAGUUUAUUUAACCCUACUCUAGUCUCUUUACACUGCUCCAUAAUGCUGUGUUCCAUAGGUAAGCACUGCAUACUGUUUUCACAUAGGGAGCCGUGGCCCCUAUAAAAUUAGCUUCUCCAGUCAACAUUGGAUUAGUCAGGGGAACUACAGGAGUUGCUCCAUUGACCUAGCAGCAAAUACCUAGUGAGUCUCUUGGUUAAAUCGACCCUGAUGCCACAGCAAAAGCAUAGCAAGAACAACUCUAGAGUAAAUGGGAAGACACAGAACAGCCAACAGGAGGAACAGAUCUCAUUCAGCUGGGAACCAGGCUGGAAACUCUGAGACUUGCCAGCCUCCCACACUGGGUAACGAGGGAACGUCUACUGUGCUUCAGAAACUUGGCCGAUUCCACAGAGAAAAGACAAAAGGGAAUGAGAUAGAUAUGUCCAGUUCCUUGCACCAAACCCACUACUCGGAUAAUUCACUCCUUCCAGGAGAGGCCGUAAGAAGCUGGGGCUGUUAACCUUAUAGAUGACUACACAUUGUAAGCCUCGGAAGGGGAAAGGAGCAGAGUAUGUGAGCAUGUGGAAAGUACGGUAGUUUCACUGAUGAGGGUAAAGUGGGUCUCUUUUCUGGUGCUGGGAACAAAACUGGAGGUGGCUAGGAUGUCACUGCCGCAUUACUAAGGCUGUAGCAAGAGACAUAGAGUCCAGAGCUUGUAUUUACUGCAUUUUACUGCAGCAAAUUUACUGCAGCCUGCCCAUAUGUGCUCAAAAGUUUGAAUUCAUGGCACAUAAACGUUUCAGUGGUUCCUGUAACAUAACAAAGAAAACUCAAAAUAGGCAGAGAGAAAAAGUUGAAGCUUAAAGGGAGGGACCCCCCCAACAUGUAUUAUCUUUGAAAAAUUCCUCAGAAUAAAUAUAUUCUAAUAAUUUGAUUUUCUUACA
rnacentral:lncRNA from 1 species